ACCACAAUAUGGUUUUUGCGAUCGUGUGGCUAAGUAAAAGGUUCCUUGCGCAGCAAAAUUAGUUUUAUAUCCCAUUUCUUGUGACAGCGAUGUCUCACGGGGAAAGCAAUUACCUUUCAAGAAGUCAGCUGCACCUCGAGGGCAAGGCCAUGCUAUAAACUUACAUUUUUGGAGUUGACUCUGAAUACUUUCAACGAAAAAUUGCCAAGCCCCAAUCCAAAUCCAUCAACGAGGGAUUCAGAUCCAUCUGUGUGUAUAAUAUCCACAAAACGAGCGUCUGAAAUAUCCAAUUUCUUGGAUCGUUGUCUUAUCAAAUGGUUUUUGAAAAAUGGUGACGCCGGAUCUAAGCCUGUGAUUCGUUCCACAAGUAAAUUCUUCUUCUUCAACAUCUCUGAUGUACAUCCAGCUACAUGAGCACCUAGGCUGAAGCCAAUGAUAUGAAGUCUAUUAGGACUGCUACCUAAUUUGAAUGUGUCCAUUAAUAUUAGUGCUAGCUGACGUCCAACUAAUUCUGUAUUAGCAACAGAAGUUGCAUAGGAUGUUUCCGCACCCCUUUCCCAAUUUACGAUUAUAACAUUUGCAUCUUCCUGAAAUAACAUUUUCAAUUUCAGUAGUCAAUGUGUACACAGUAUGGCGUAAUUGUCAACCGGCGUAGAUUCCGAUUUACAUUACUACAUGAUACUCACCACUUCUAGAAUUGACUUUGCCCCAAGAGUGAGUCCAACAUCGUUACCACUUCCUCUGAACCCAUGUAUGAAUGCUUUAGUAUUUCUAGUAGCAUUGUAAGUGGACUUGCUGAUCGACUGCAAACCAUCUCCAUACACAAGGAACUUUGGAACUUGUGGGUUCUCACGUGUGUAUAAGAGGAAUUGAGUAUUUAUCUUAUCGGGGUGUUCAGGUGGUCGUUUAAGAGAUAAUUGCGCAGGAGGAUCAGCAAAACAGCCCACAAAAUCUGUGUAAAAUAUCGAAAUUGUGUCACCAAAGUCAAAGAUAUAUCAGGCUAUUGUCUUGGCAGUAAACUUUUUAUGGAAUUAUACCAUAGGUUUAAAUUGAGCAAUAGGCAAAUGGGACGGAAAAAAUCUUACCGUAACAUACUUGAGGUUUGAUUUUGUUCUGUAGAUUUAUCCUCCGUUGCAUCAAAUGGUUUCGUCUAUUCAUUAUCUUGGCUGAAAUAAGUUGGUGCACAAGCAAUAAAUAUUUUCGAAGAAAUAU
rnacentral:misc_RNA from 1 species